UACGGGGGGGGCAAGCGUUGUUCGGAAUUACUGGGCGUAAAGGGCUCGUGGGCGGCCAACUAAGUCAGACGUGAAAUCCCUCGGCUUAACCGGGGAACUGCGUCUGAUACUGGUUGGUUUGAAUCCGGGAGAGGGAUGUGGAAUUCCAGGUGUAGCGGUGAAAUGCGUAGAUAUCAGGAGGAACACCGGUGGCGAAGGCGGCUUUCUGGACAGUAACUGACGCUGAGGCGCGAAAGCCGGGGGAGCAAACAGG
rnacentral:rRNA from 1 species